GAUGAACGCUGGCGGCGUGCCUAAUACAUGCAAGUCGAGCGAACGGACGAGAAGCUUGCUUCUCUGAUGUUAGCGGCGGACGGGUGAGUAACACGUGGAUAACCUACCUAUAAGACUGGGAUAACUUCGGGAAACCGGAGCUAAUACCGGAUGAUAUUUUGAACCGCAUGGUCCAAAAGUGAAAGACGGUCUUGCUGUCACUUAUAGAUGGAUCCGCGCUGCAUUAGCUAGUUGGUAAGGUAACGGCUUACCAAGGCAACGAUGCAUAUCCGACCUGAGGGGCGGAUCGGCCACCUUGGAGCUGGGCCACGGUCCUGACUCCUACGGGACGCCGCAGUAGGGAAUCUUCCGCAGUGGGCGAAAGCCUGACGGAGCAACGCCGCGUGAGUGAUGAAGGUCUUCCGAUCGUAAUGCUCUGUUACUAGUGAAGAACAUAUGUGGAAGGAACUGUGCACAUCGUGACGGUACCUAAUCAGAAAGCCCCGGCUAACUACGUG
rnacentral:rRNA from 1 species